AGAUGUUUGAACAUUGCCUGUCCAUUCUUGAUAUUCAUGGAAUAAUCUUUUUUUUUUCCUAUCAGGGAAGGAUGUCGAGAGAAUUAAUGACCUAUAUUUUGGAGUCUCUCAGAGCUGUGUAAACAAAAAGAAGUGGCAAUAAUUGAAGAGGGCAGAAGGAAAUGGAUUCUGGUACAGAAAUCAACGAACCAAAGACUUCAGCUGGAGCCCAAAUCCACACACACGAUACUGAAGACAAAGUGCCCAUCCCUGAGGAGUUUACAAAAUUAGCAACUUGGAGGUGAAGGUGAGUAUUUGGGGAAACAAAAUCCCUAGAAUAGGCUGACUGUUGUUUUCAGGUAUAGC
rnacentral:lncRNA from 12 species